GGGGGUGGAGCAUAGCUCAGUGGUAAAGCAUGUGCUUUGCAUGCACGAGGUCCUGGGUUCAAUCCCCAGCACCUCCA